rnacentral:rRNA from 1 species
AUUGAACGCUGGCGGCAGGCCUAACACAUGCAAGUCGAGCGGAGCGGCGGACGGGUGAGUAAUGCCUAGGAAUCUGCCUGGUAGUGGGGGAUAACGUCCGGAAACGGGCGCUAAUACCGCAUACUGAUGGAUGGACCCGCGGUGCAUUAGCUAGGUGGUGAGGUAACGGCUCACCAAGGCCACGAUGCAUAGCCGACCUGAGAGGGUGAUCGGCCACACUGGGACUGAGACACGGCCCAGACUCCUACGGGAGGCAGCAGUGGGGAAUAUUGGACAAUGGGCGAAAGCCUGAUCCAGCCAUGCCGCGUGUGUGAAGAAGGUCUUCGGAUUGUAAAGCACUUUAAGUUGGGAGGCGUUACCAACAGAAUAAGCACCGGCUAACUUCGUGCCAGCCGCCGCGGUAAUAC